AUUCCAGCUCCAAUAGCGUAUAUUAAAGUUGUUGCAGUUAAAGAGCUCGUAGUUGGAUCUCGGGUCCAGGCUUGCGGUUCUGCUCAUGUAGACACUGCUCGUCCUGACCUACCUCCCGGUGUUCCCCUGGUGCCCUUAACUGGGUGUCUCGGGUGGCCGGAACGUUUACUUUGAAAAAAUUAGAGUGUUCAAAGCAGGCAGUGUGCCUGAAUAAUGGUGCAUGGAAUAAUAGAAAAGGACCUCGGUUCUAUUUUGUUGGUUUUCGGAACUUGAGGUAAUGAUUAAGAGGGACAGACGGGGGCAUUCGUAUUACGGUGUUAGAGGUGAAAUUCUUGGAUCGCCGUAAGACGAACUACUGCGAAAGCAUUUGCCAAGCAUGUUUUCAUCA
rnacentral:rRNA from 1 species